GGUUUUAAUGGAAAUUACCAAAAGCUUCUGUUCUGUUGGUUGCUUUUUUUUAUCUAAAUCACAUAAUACAGUCCAAACCUAGUUGAGGCCGCAUUAGCUCGCCUCCGAUGUUGCCAAACCUUUAAAGGAGUUUUAGGAGUUAUUUUAGUAGUGGUCAAUAAUGGUUCAGGGCGUCGUCGGAAGUGAGAUAAUUAAAUAACACAACUGGUUAAUCGGAGCGUUUAUUCGCGACUCAACUUAAAAAGUAAAAAGCAACGGGGCUUGCGGGCGCAGCCGCAUGUUAUGACUACGAACAAUUUUGUUUACAUAACAAACUGUAUCCGUACAGAGUAUAUACUCUAAACUAGUAUGCAGCAGCUCGCAAGCAACGGGUUCGACGAGAACGAUGACCGGUGCUUGGGGUAUCUAAAAGCACCGUUAGUGGAUCGGGAGGAUCCGAGAUAACGUGUUUUGGGCGACGUCGACUGUUUGCCAUUUGGUUCGCAGGAUCGGCUAUGAAGUUUCCGGCGGCCACAAUGAGAGGGUUCUUGUGUCGUGCCGCUUUAUCGAAAUGGCGCAUUUUGGUUACCUUAAAACUUUGACGCUAUGAAAUCGCGAAUGAGUUGAAAUGCUUGAUCUAUUUGGAUCUUUACUGAUUACUGGUGGUAGGACCUCUUGUGAGGCCGCACGGGUAGGUACCACCGCCCCGCCACGCUUUCUGCCGUGAAGCAGUAAUGCGUUUCGGUUUGAAGGGUGGGGCAGCCGUUGUAACUAUACUGAGACCUUAGAACUUAUAUCUCAAGGUGUGUGGCGCAUUAACAUUGUAGAUGUCUAUGGGUUCCAGUAACCACUUAAAACCAAGUGGGCUGUGAGCUCGUCCACACAUCUAGGCAAUAAAAAUAAAAGAUCUUGUGAAUCAAAGCGUAAAAAUCCAGAUGAGUUCUACGAUCUCUCCACGCUAGAUGCAUACUACCAUUAUUGCUAUAAAUGUAGCAUUGAUUAAAGGAAGUGUAUUCUUAGUUUAUACAGUGUAUUAUCUAUAAUUUGGUUUUCGUACGACCGAACUACAGACUAACCCCCGUAUCUUUAGUCGUUCACACGAGCUUAACUCGACUCGACUCAACCUCCAACGCGCGUUUUGGUAUGUCUUGCUUAAUCGUAAAAAUAAACUCCACUCAAACGUCCUUGGAAAAUUUUCCUAACCGGAGUGAAGUAAGCGAACUGUCAAGUCAGACCGAGACUUAAUGAGGAGAAUUACUUGACGUUGGCUAAUGCACAAACCGUACCAGAACCGAAAAAUAAAGAAGAAGAAGAAUGAGGAGAAUUCCAAAUUUUGAUUAAUCAUUUUUUGUUCAACAAGAUUGAAUAUUUUAUCUAUAAUAACUAAUGGUUUAUUAUAGAUAAUCGAUCUCAGAGAAUAGAAUUUACAUUCGAUUAUUUUCUGUUUCGGGUAAAUUAAUUUACAAAAAAUUUAAAACGUCAUUAAGAAA